GUACAGAUGAAGAGUCCCAAAUAGGACGAAACAGCUGUCCAGUAC
rnacentral:hammerhead_ribozyme from 1 species